rnacentral:rRNA from 1 species
UACCAGCACCCCGAGUGGUCGGGACGUUUAUUGGGCCUAAAGCGUCCGUAGCCGGUUCUACAAGUCUUCCGUUAAAUCCACCUGCUUAACAGAUGGGCUGCGGAAGAUACUAUAGAGCUAGGAGGCGGGAGAGGCAAGCGGUACUCGAUGGGUAGGGGUAAAAUCCGUUGAUCCAUUGAAGACCACCAGUGGCGAAGGCGGCUUGCCAGAAUGCGCUCGACGGUGAGGGAUGAAAGCUGGGGGAGCAAACCGG